rnacentral:misc_RNA from 1 species
GAUGAAGAACGUAGCGAAUUGCGAUAUGUAAUGUGAAUUGCAGAAUUCAGUGAAUCAUCGAAUCUUUGAACGCACAUUGCGCCCGCCAGUAUUCUGGCGGGCAUGCCUGUUCGAGCGUCAUUUCAACCCUCAAGACCCCUUCGGGGGACUUGGUGUUGGGGACCGGCACAGGGGCCUGCCUGCUUGUCUUGCAGCGCCCUCGCCGCCCCCGAAAUGAAUUGGCGGCCUCGUCGCGGCCUCCCCUGCGUAGUAGCACAACCUCGCAACGGGAACGUGACGGCGGCCACUGCCGUAAAACAACCCCAAUUUUAUUAGAGUUGACCUCGAAUCAGGUAGGAAUACCCGCUGAACUUAAGCAUAUCAAUAAGCGGAGGA